rnacentral:rRNA from 1 species
GUACUCACCUUGUGUGCAAUGUUUGCUCCGAGUCGUUUUUUCGACUCGGCAGCAUAAUACCAACCUUUUAUUGUAAAUUUUUUGUCUGAAGCUAUUUCGAAUAUAUAAUUCUAAAUACAACUUUCAACAACGGAUCUCUUGGCUCUCGCAUCGAUGAAGAACGCAGCGAAAUGCGAUACGUAAUGUGAAUUGCAGAAUUCAGUGAAUCAUCGAAUCUUUGAACGCACAUUGCACUCUCUGGUAUUCCGGAGAGUAUGCUUGUUUGAGUAUCUGUAAACAUCUCAAAUCUCUCUUCGCUUGCGUUGAGAGAAUUGGAUUUGAGCGAUCCCAACUCCUUCUUCAGAAAGAGGAGGGUCGCUUGAAAUGCAGGUGCAGCUGGACAUUCUUCUGAGCUAAAAGCAUAUCUAUUUAGUCCCGUCAAACGGAUUAUUACUUUUGCUUCAGCUAAUAUAAAGGUCGAAUGAACUACCAACGCUGAUUGCAGGAAAACUUGUUCGUUUAUUCGAACUUGUAAACUCGAUCUCAAAUCAAGUAAGACUACCCGCUGAACUUAAGCAUAUCAAUAAGCGG